GUCAGCUACUGUCUCGUUCGCCUCUGCUUCGCCUAGCGAAGGCCAGGCGAAUAUUCGCCCCAGGCUCGCCUAGCGAUGUGCUAGCGAGCGGCCACGGAUUUUGAAUUUGAAAACAGCCCCAUGUUAGGAACCUUGAAUUUUUAUGGCAUUUAAUCACAGGAACAGCAUGGUCAAACAUUCAGGGUAUUCAGGCAUAUUUAAA
rnacentral:lncRNA from 1 species